rnacentral:tRNA from 1 species
GAGGCAGUAGCUCAGCGGUAGAGCGUCAAGUUCCUUAUUUGCCUCCUUGUCUAUUAAGACCGAAGAAUAAGGGUUACCGACAGUCGCGGGUUCGAAUCCCGUCUGCUUCA